CUUUUGAGUGGAACAGAGGUUCAGCAGAGCAAUCACAGGGAUCACUCUGCCACCCAGCUGAGCGAGGACCUCAGACAGCUUCUCAGUGCCAACAUGAUCCUCACACUUCAUGACCUGGAGGGAGACAAAAGAUCAAAGGUGCUUGAAUCUGUGGAAAAAGUGACAUCCUUUUAACAGCCACUUUGGUCCUUCCACACCAGACACCCCCUCAGUCAUGAUACCAGGAUGUAGGUCAGGGAUGCUUUGAGGAGAAUGCUGCGAUAGGAUAUGAUCAUAUGAAUGCACAAACAGUGUGUGCAUUAAUAUGCAUACAUACACACGCAUAAAUAAUCAUUGUCAAAGUGUGUAACAUAACUAUUAUGAGAAAUUGUCACAGUGAAUGGGAAGUAAAACAGACAUUAAAGAACAUUUCCACCACAAA